ACGCUGGCGGCGUGCCUAAUACAUGCAAGUAGAACGCUGAAGGAGGAGCUUGCUUCUCCGGAUGAGUUGCGAACGGGUGAGUAACGCGUAGGUAACCUGCCUGGUAGCGGGGGAUAACUAUUGGAAACGAUAGCUAAUACCGCAUAAGAGUAGAUGUUGCAUGACAUUUGCUUAAAAGGUGCAAUUGCAUCACUACCAGAUGGACCUGCGUUGUAUUAGCUAGUUGGUGGGGUAACGGCUCACCAAGGCGACGAUACAUAGCCGACCUGAGAGGGUGAUCGGCCACACUGGGACUGAGACACGGCCCAGACUCCUACGGGAGGCAGCAGUAGGGAAUCUUCGGCAAUGGACGGAAGUCUGACCGAGCAACGCCGCGUGAGUGAAGAAGGUUUUCGGAUCGUAAAGCUCUGUUGUAAGAGAAGAACGAGUGUGAGAGUGGAAAGUUCACACUGUGACGGUAUCUUACCAGAAAGGGACGGCUAACUACGUGCCAGCAGCCGCGGUAAUACGUAGGUCCCGAGCGUUGUCCGGAUUUAUUGGGCGUAAAGCGAGCGCAGGCGGUUAGAUAAGUCUGAAGUUAAAGGCUGUGGCUUAACCAUAGUACGCUUUGGAAACUGUUUAACUUGAGUGCAAGAGGGGAGAGUGGAAUUCCAUGUGUAGCGGUGAAAUGCGUAGAUAUAUGGAGGAACACCGGUGGCGAAAGCGGCUCUCUGGCUUGUAACUGACGCUGAGGCUCGAAAGCGUGGGGAGCAGACAGGAUUAGAUACCCUGGUAGUCCACGCCGUAAACGAUGAGUGCUAGGUGUUAGACCCUUUCCGGGGUUUAGUGCCGCAGCUAACGCAUUAAGCACUCCGCCUGGGGAGUACGACCGCAAGGUUGAAACUCAAAGGAAUUGACGGGGGCCCGCACAAGCGGUGGAGCAUG
rnacentral:rRNA from 1 species